rnacentral:ncRNA from 1 species
UAACAAUGUGCCCAUGGCAGAGAGAACAGGCAGAUCGUAAAGACGCCGUAAACCCUUCCUUGGGGGUUCGAGCCGCGCCGUCCUGGCGCGGACGCUUU